GCUGGAGAAUGAACGCAGGGAGCAAAGCAACGAGAUCAACGAGCUCAAACGUGAAGUCAAAGUUUUGAAAAGAGGGUCAGGAGAAUUGGCAGAAGUGUAGAAAAGGCAAACCAGUAGGUUUACAUUGACGAUAUCAAUUUUGCCUUCACU
rnacentral:ribozyme from 1 species